UACAGAGGUCCCAAGCGUUGUUCGGAUUCACUGGGCGUAAAGGGUGCGUAGGUGGUGAGGUAAGUCGGAUGUGAAAGCUCCGAGCUCAACUCGGAAAUGGCAUUGGAAACUACCUUGCUCGAGGGUUUGAGGGGGGACUGGAAUACUUGGUGUAGCAGUGAAAUGCGUAGAUAUCAAGUAGAACACCAGUGGCGAAGGCGAGUCCCUGGAAAACUCCUGACACUGAGGCACGAAAGCUUGGGGAGCAAACAGG
rnacentral:rRNA from 1 species